rnacentral:lncRNA from 1 species
CAGCCUGGCCAACGUGGUGAAACCCCGUCUCUACCAAAAAAUACAAAAAUUAGCUGGGCAUGGCGGCACACACCUGUAGUCCCAGAUACCGGAGAGGCUGAGGUGGGAGAAUAGCUUGAACCCGGGAGGCAGAGGUUGCAGUGAGCUGAGAUUGUGCCAUUGCACUCCAGCCUGGGCAACAUGAGCGAAACUCCAUCUCAAAAAAACAAAAACAAAAAACAAACUCAAAUUAGCAUGAUAGAUCAGGCUACUUAGAUUCAGCUUUCUGAGAUGUUAUUUGUUAACAUUAAGGCUAAUUUAUUAUAAUGAAAAUGUAAACUUUGAGGUAUGUUAAUAUAUAAACAUCUUUUUCCUUUGGCCUAAAAGGUCUUUAGUAUUCAGCACACUGGGUAAAGUUCAGUUUAGACACAAUCAAAUUGGCAUCUUUUAAACAUAAGUGAAAUAUAGAGAGCUUGAACUUGAGUUACUUAAAGAAGAUACAGUAUAAUUAAUUAUACAGAACAAAACAAAGAUGUGUUUAGAGUGACUCUGGCCUGACUCUUGUCCAUCAGCCCCUAGUAGCCUAUCUUCAGCCUUUGGGAAGUCUUAACUUCCCAGGUUAAACUAGAAUAUUCUGGAACUGAGCUGUCCAAAUUUCAUCUUAAAGUGGAUCAUUUGACUCUGAAACACGAUUCUCAUGGCAGAAAAAGCCCUGGUGUUUCCUUGGAGCUGGGGAUAAAGGCCAGUGAGCCAGCCUGUGAUGAGAGCUGCCCCUGGCACUAUCUGAGUGGAAAGCUCAUUGGGACAGCCAUGCAGCUAUCAGAGCCGACUGAAGCCCUGUCCCUUACCCCUCAGGCACCUGAUGCUUAACUUGCCUCCUGGGAAAUAAUGAUCUAGCAUUUACUUGGAACAAUGAUUAAUCAUGUUCUUUAAUAAUUGCUGACAUUUGUAUUUUAAGCUGUAUACCAAUGUUCGUAUUUGACAUUGAUUUUCUAACCAUUAGAGAUAUUUAAUUAAAACUUGGAAAUGAAAGAAACAAAAUGAAAUUUAGUUUCUUUUGGUUUGAAUCCUAAUUUUU